CUCCGACGACAGACGGUUUCUUCCACUACGUAUAUGCUAUCGCGGAGGACGACGACAUCGGCGCGUUUUCGCGCUCGUCGGCGUUUCAGAAAACCGUGAGAGCGAGAGUUCGUUUGGCUAGUACUGUCUGCCCACCGCGGACAAACGUCGUUGAAUUUACGAUGCAGGACGAACAAUUCUGUGCUAGGACGUCAAGUGAUACGAUUGCACGCGAAAUAUUUAUCGAGUAUUCACAAUUAUAAGUACUGUAUCUGUCUCGGAGGAUAAUUAGAGCAAAAUUAUUUCCAAUAACAAUUAGAUAACAACAUGAUAAAAAUGUUAAGAAAAUAUUACAUUAUAUUUUUUCAACUUAUUAUUAUUUGUAAUAGCUAAAUCCAUAGGACGUAUUUGUCAUCACUUCUGUUAGACUGUUAUGGUAUAUCUUUCUGAAUUUAUUCGAAAAUAGGUAUUGCCUGCACGGUCAAGAGAUUAAUGCAUCCACGUAAAAGACUGUAUCUAUCGACUUAAUUGAAUCCAAACCGCGCAUGCAAACCCGCCCACCACAUGGUGAUAAAUGGCGUCGAAGUGUCUUUUCUCCUUUCCUCCUCUCAUUCUCUUUCUCUAUCUGGCCACAGUUCAUCCUGACAUGGGAGACUUUUACUCCGAAUGAGCAAAAAGCCGAGCCUUCGUAUACUCGCCCCUGGAGACGCUCGUUACACGCGUACGAACACCCGGUAACAAUGUGCGAAGCAUUCGCUCUCCUGAAUUCGUCGGCGCUGUUUUUCUUCGACGUCGAGCUAUGAGCACCCGAGCCGAUCUUCCCCCGAGGACUUACGCGCGCGUUAAACGUACGCCCUAUCGACCGUGCACCAUCUCGCAGGCAGAAACUUCGUGAUAUCAUCGAAACGCUUUUAAAGAAAACUGCCAUUGGCACGGAACGAGAUUCCCGCAGCGAGGCAGAAGGACGACACGGUGAUAGAAGAGCACGGCGAAUGAAGAAAAAGAUCAGGUCAUCUUUGAUACUCUUUUUCUUUCUCUCUUAUCCAAGGGCGUAUAUCUCAUGACUGUUAAACAACCGCUGCGACUAAAUAAUACCAUGACGGGAGAGUAGGAACGCGUUGGUUCAUGAUGUUAAUGAAAAUGUAUCGAGAAAGUCAUGGACCGACUGACCUCUUAAGAAAGGUUUACUCAGCAUCGGCUCUUCUAUCAAGUGCGAUCCUUGAAGGUGCGAUUCAGCCUCUGCGCUUUACCUCCCGUCCUUGGACUUUUCUUCUUCUUCUUCAAUGCCUCCUCCUACUCUCCUUUUCCUUUCCUGAUCCGACCUUUCGUUCUCUCAUCUCUGGUAUUAUAGAGGCUUCAGAUAUAUCCUGGGCCCCUGAAGGUGGCUCGCUCGCUCUCGGUGCUUCAGCGAACGACCGUACCGAGGCAUAGCCACCAUAUCUACCAUCUGGCAUAAAUCAACUCAAUGCUCGACUCUUAGAAGCUUCACUCUCCCUUAAGCCCAUAUUGCUUACCUUCCUUUGCUUUCCUAUUCUUUUUCCUCCCGCCCGACGUGUUCGAGGGGAAGCAGCUAUCCGGCCGAUCUACCAAUUAUUAAUUCAACUCGCCUUUCUACCCUCCGUAUACACUGGACACCCUGAAUCCUCCUCGCCAUCUUCUUUGACGACCUCGCGCGGGCUUCGUAUAGCUCUUACAGUUGCGACUCCGCGAUUCCAUGCAACUUUAGAGUUCGAUGCGUUAUCGGCGGAUCAAUCGUAUCCGCGAUGAUAGGCUACUAUUCGCUUUAUAAAUAAGAAAAUCGCAAAUCUACUAAAAAGCCGACAAUUUGAUUUGUUCAAAGAAAAGCCGACAAAAUUCAAGACAGAAGAGGGGAAGGGCCUGGAUGGAGAGAAGCAGAGAAUGAGAGAGUCACGGUGUUUGCUCGCUGGCGGGUUCCUCUCACUACCCGGUUGCAAAGAUUCUACGGAAGAGAUCAGGACAACGGGUGUAACAAAGGAUUCGAUUAUAUACACUUCGCUGACGGGAGCAAAAGGGACAGAAGGGAUAAAGAGGAGCAGGUAAAUGUAGCAUUGGCGUAUAUACACACGUAAAUAUAUAUGCGCGCCAAACAUAUAUGCGUACGUCCGGCUGUUAUCGUCCAAUCGCGGCGAAAAACUAGAUCCGUCGUGAACUUGAAAGGUGAUAAAUCUAACGAGCUGUGUGAGCAGGACUCUCGACGCUAACUGGUAUGAUUCACGAUCAGGCGCGAGUAUCUCUCUCUCUCUCUCUCUCUCUCCUCGUGAGCAUGUAGCACGUUCGGAUACAACAGAAUCUUUACUGAUAUUCAUAGGGUCCUCUUUCUCUUGUCCACGAAGAAAGCGACCGGAGAUCAUCCAGAAUGUUGCGAAGGACGCCACCACCAAUUAGUUCGGAUAUAUCUACCUGCCAUCCGCUGUCCAAUCUGUUGCGAACGUGUAGCCUGCUAUCGCGGAUCAAGUUACUUCUUAGCGUAAUUGCGUGAAACUACGGUUUGCAGGAUUUCGUGGUAUAGCGCGCAUCUUUCAGCCUCGGCAGACCAACGAAAUUUGAUAAUGGAUCGCGAUAAGGGACUUGCGUGAGAGGAAACUUAAAGAUUCCUCGGCCUCGGUCAACAAUGUUCACAUUGAAUCUACAGGUGCUCUGAAAAAUAUUCAAAAUGUUCGUUGCUCUUCUUGGCGCGGGUGACUAUCAUUUCUGAUAAUAAAUUAUCAAGUUUGUAAUCAGCAAGGACUCUGUUGCAUCCGGAUGCGCUGCUUAUGCUCAGUUCGCAAA